CCUACGGGAGGCAGCAGUGGGGAAUAUUGCACAAUGGGCGAAAGCCUGAUGCAGCGACGCCGCGUGAGGGAUGACGGCCUUCGGGUUGUAAACCUCUUUCAGCAGGGAAGAAGCGAAAGUGACGGUACCUGCAGAAGAAGCGCCGGCUAACUACGUGCCAGCAGCCGCGGUAAUACGUAGGGCGCAAGCGUUGUCAGGAAUUAUUGGGCGUAAAGAGCUCGUAGGCGGCUUGUCACGUCGGGUGUGAAAGCCCGGGGCUUAACCCCGGGUCUGCAUUCGAUACGGGCUAGCUAGAGUGUGGUAGGGGAGAUCGGAAUUCCUGGUGUAGCGGUGAAAUGCGCAGAUAUCAGGAGGAACACCGGUGGCGAAGGCGGAUCUCUGGGCCAUUACUGACGCUGAGGAGCGAAAGCGUGGGGAGCGAACAGGAUUAGAUACCCUGGUAGUCCACGCCGUAAACGGUGGGAACUAGGUGUUGGCGACAUUCCACGUCGUCGGUGCCGCAGCUAACGCAUUAAGUUCCCCGCCUGGGGAGUACGGCCGCAAGGCUAAAACCUUAAAGGAAUUGACGGCUGNGAGNGCGAGCGACGACGAGGAGAG
rnacentral:rRNA from 1 species